rnacentral:tRNA from 1 species
GGGAUAUGGCGAAAUUGGUAGACGCUACGGACU